UCUCUGGUGGCUUAGAUGGUAAAGAAUCUACCUGCAAUGCGGAAGACCCAGGUUCAAUCCCUGGAUUGGGAA
rfam:TPA: Bos taurus chromosome 4, whole genome shotgun sequence.